GGCGGCGUAGCUCAGUGGUAGAGCACACGACUCAUAAUCGUGUUGUCGGUGGUUCGAACCCACCCGCCGCCACCA
rnacentral:tRNA from 1 species